rnacentral:rRNA from 1 species
GACGAACGCUGGCGGCGUGCUUAACACAUGCAAGUCGAACGGGAUUUAGUAGACAGAAGCCUCGGCUAAAGAUUACUAAUGAGAGUGGCGAACGGGUGAGUAACGCGUGAGCAACCUGCCUAUGACAGUGGGAUAGCCUCGGGAAACCGGGAUUAAUACCGCAUAAAAUCGUAGAAACACAUGUUUUACCGGUCAAAGAUUUAUCGGUCAUAGAUGGGCUCGCGUCUGUUUAGCUAGUUGGUGAGAUAACAGCCCACCAAGGCGACGAUCAGUAGCCGGUCUGAGAGGAUGAACAGCCACAUUGGAACUGAGACACGGUCCAAACUCCUACGGGAAGCAGCAGUGGGGAAUAUUGCACAAUGGGGGAAACCCUGAUGCAGCGACGCCGCGUGAACGAAGAAGGUAUUCGUAUCGUAAAGUUCUGUCCUAUGGGAAGAUAAUGACAGUACCAUAGAAGAAAGCUCCGGCUAAAUACGUG